rnacentral:rRNA from 1 species
AUGAACGCUGGCGGCGUGCCUCAUCCCUGCCAGUCGAGCGAACAGAUGAGGAGCUUGCUCCUCUGACGUUAGCGGCGGACGGGUGAGUAACACGUGGAUAACCUACCUAUAAGACUGGGAUAACUUCGGGAAACCGGAGCUAAUACCGGAUAAUAUAUUGAACCGCAUGGUUCAAUAGUGAAAGACGGUUUUGCUGUCACUUAUAGAUGGAUCCGCGCCGCAUUAGCUAGUUGGUAAGGUAACGGCUUACCAAGGCAACGAUGCGUAGCCGACCUGAGAGGGUGAUCGGCCACACUGGAACUGAGACACGGUCCAGACUCCUACGGGAGGCAGCAGUAGGGAAUCUUCCGCAAUGGGCGAAAGCCUGACGGAGCAACGCCGCGUGAGUGAUGAAGGUCUUCGGAUCGUAAAACUCUGUUAUUGGGGAAGAACAAAUGUGUAAGUAACUAUGCACGUCUUGACGGUACCUAAUCAGAAAGCCACGGCUAACUACGUG